CCUACGGGGGGCAGCAGUGAGGAAUAUUGGUCAAUGGACGAGAGUCUGAACCAGCCAAGUAGCGUAAAGGAUGACUGCCCUAUGGGUUGUAAACUUCUUUUAUAUGGGAAUAAAAUGUUCCACGUGUGGGAUUUUGUAUGUACCAUAUGAAUAAGGAUCGGCUAACUCCGUGCCAGCAGCCGCGGUAAUACGGAGGAUCCGAGCGUUAUCCGGAUUUAUUGGGUUUAAAGGGAGCGUAGGUGGAUUGUUAAGUCAGUUGUGAAAGUUUGCGGCUCAACCGUAAAAUUGCAGUUGAAACUGGCAGUCUUGAGUACAGUAGAGGUGGGCGGAAUGCGUGGUGUAGCGGUGAAAUGCUUAGAUAUCACGAAGAACUCCGAUUGCGAAGGCAGUUCACUGGACUGCAACUGACACUGAGGCUCGAAAGUGUGGGUAUCAAACAGGAUUAGAUACCCCGGUAGUC
rnacentral:rRNA from 1 species